GACAGAGGGUGCAAACGUUGUUCGGAAUUACUGGGCGUAAAGCGCGUGUAGGCGGCCCGGAAAGUCGGAUGUGAAAGCCCUGGGCUUAACCUAGGAAGUGCAUUCGAAACUCCCGUGGCUUGAGUUCUGGAGAGGGAAGCGGAAUUCUCGGUGUAGAGGUGAAAUUCGUAGAUAUCGAGAGGAACACCGGUGGCGAAGGCGGCUUCCUGGACAGUGACUGACGCUGAGGCACGAAGGUCAGGGGAGCAAACGGG
rnacentral:rRNA from 1 species